rnacentral:siRNA from 1 species
UAAACAUGGGAAGAUUGCGCCGG